GGAUGUGAGGGUGAUCUGGCUCUGAAAUCUGAUACCCAAUUGAUCCCCAGGGUUAAUUCAGAUGAUCUGGCUGGCUAGGUGAGUGUCCCCUUCCUUUCUCACUGCUCCAUGUGUAUCCCUCCCAAAUCUGCAUGCUUGGUAGAAGAGGACAACCUUCCCCAAAUAAGGUCCAGUUUUUGGUAAAGGGUAUACGAAUAGCUAGAACCUUCAAACAAGCUCUCAAAUGGGCUGACCAACUAUGCUUUUUACUCUCAAGGGACAAUUCUCUAACCUCAGUUGACUAGUAUAAGUU
rnacentral:snRNA from 1 species